CCGUUGGCUGACCACUCAGCACAGAACACGGCUUGGACAGCAGACCACUCCAAAGAAAAUGAGCAGCAGAGGCUGGCAUCUUCAAGACUGUAUAUAUAUAUAUAUGUCUUCUCGCCCCUUUCCACA